rnacentral:rRNA from 1 species
AGGACGAACGCUGGCGGCGUGCUUAACACAUGCAAGUCGAGCGGAAAGGCCCUUCGGGGUACUCGAGCGGCGAACGGGUGAGUAACACGUGAGCAACCUGCCCUUGGCUCUGGGAUAGCCUCCGGAAACGGGGAUUAAUACCGGACAUUCACUGACCCCUGCAUGGGGGAUGGUGGAAAGUUUUUCGGCCAGGGAGGGGCUCGCGGCCUAUCAGCUUGUUGGCGGGGUAACGGCCCACCAAGGCGACGACGGGUAGCCGGCCUGAGAGGGCGAUCGGCCACACUGGGACUGAGACACGGCCCAGACUCCUACGGGAGGCAGCAGUGGGGAAUAUUGCACAAUGGGCGCAAGCCUGAUGCAGCGACGCCGCGUGGGGGAUGAAGGCCUUCGGGUUGUAAACCCCUUUCACCAGGAACGAAUUCAGACGGUACCUGGGGAAGAAGCGCCGGCUAACUACGUGCCAGCAGCCGC